CUUUAAUUUCCUCUUUUUUUUUUUGAUUGAGAAAUACCAAUUGUAUCAGAUGAGGGAGUUCCUGUCUGUGUCAGAGUCACCUGUUGAGGGGAUCAUAUUGGUAUUCUCAGGUUACAGUUUUGAUUGCCCACUAUAUUCAUCGCUGCAUUACUGGUGGCUGAGACAGAGUCUCUGUUUCCGAAGCCAAUGUGCUUCCAAAGAGGCCGUGAUGCUGGGCGAUGGGGAAGAGACCGACUGAGGAAUUUGCUAAAGCCUCCUGAUGUUUGAUUGGAUGGAGAAAAGAAUGGAGCUGGAAUCCCAGUCAGGAAACGAAUACAAGAGGUGAGGUUGGAGCUGAUCGGCACUGAGCCGGGAUAUCAGCAUCUGCAGUGGAAAAGGCAGAAGAGCUGUUGGGGGAAAUAAAGAGCAAGGCUUGAAGGUAGGAGGAAAAAAU
rnacentral:lncRNA from 1 species